CCCCCCCCAACCCCUCCCGCUACUGGAAGAUUUUUUUUUCCCCUCUCUAUCUCCUAUACUGACAACGUCCUGCGAGCGGCUGUUUUGCUUUUGCACUGAGAGAAGAGCUUCCCCCCUCACCCUCUCUUCCGACAGCAAACUCUCAGCCUGUGAGUAGGAGUGGAUCUUGGCUACUUUGUGCUACCUCCCGUGGACAGAACAGGGGUACAGAAUCUGGACCCCUUCAUAUCUUCAGCUUAUGGAUGAAAUCCACAUACUGAUGUCUAACCUGUAACAAAUGCCAAUGUUUUGACCUUUCAAUAGAGAGCUGAUUUUGGAGAACGACUUACUCCUGUGAUUGAAAAACUCUCUGGAAGGUUGAUGGAGCAUGAGCUUGAACUGCAGUCUUAAACAUGAAUGCAAAAUUUCACUGUUACUUCAAGAGAGGAGCAGUCAAGGUGUAUUCUCUUAAUUCUUCUUCAUCUGACCACACAGUAACCUCAACUGAGUUGAGUGAAUUAACUGAAUAUGCCUGAAGCAAAUAAUAAGCAUUCCUGACUUCUGUGUAUGUGUGGAGAGCCUGCUCCUAUGGAAUUUCUGUUGUGCAUCUUCAGCAGAGCUCUUGCUUUCAGGGGUUCGGAAGAAUCUAACAGAGCUGCCUGCAUACAUGAUUCCCAGCUUUCAUCAAGAUCUUCUUAAGACACAAGGAUGGAGAUAGCCCUGUUAGUUUGCAGAAGUUGUUUAUCGUGAACUGGCUAGAAGGCUUAUUGUAAUGAAGUGGAGUGCUUGGGUCCAUGCUGUAUUUUUCUCUUGCAGGAGAAUCUUUCAUUGAGAUUAUUGAAAUCGCUGCAGUGAGAAUGGAAAUUACUUGGGCUCCUUUCCUUUUAAAAGCUGCAUGCAAGAACUGUGUGGUGAGUCAAAUGUAGACUAAUGGUUAUGUAAAUGUCACUAAUUUUAGAUACAGAUCUGAAAGUGUGUUUCCUUUUAAGAUUUUAUUUUCUUCACUAUCAUGACUCAGUAUCACUUGCUAAUCUAAUUUUAUUAGCCCUGUUGUAUUUUACCAUUUAAAAUACACAUGCCUUCUUCAAUUAAAUGCUCACAGAGUCAAGUUUAUAUAUCAUAUAGAUGUUUUAAAAGGAGGAAAAAAGCUUAUCUGCACUGGGGAUUUGUUUUCACUUCAGCCUUCACAAGCCUGCUACUGGUGCAGUUGCACAGGUAGAAACAUGAUGUAGAUGAAUAUGAAUCCAAGUUUUUAUAAUUCAUAAAUUUGCAUUAUUUGACUGUAUAGAAUUUCAGCCUGGUGUAUGUGCUGCUAAAAAUUACGCUUUUCUUGUUUGCUACUGCUACGGAUUUGAACUGUUGAAACUACUGAUGGCUAAAAUUUCCAACUUAGUUCAGACCUGAGCAGUUCUCAGCAGCAAACCUAUGCAUAAUUAGAUAGCCUACGUCUUUUCAUAAAGAACACUUCCAUGUGUACCUUUACCUAUUACAGCUCUCUUAAGAUACGUGACCAAACUGAGGUUGAUUAUUUAGAAAAAAUAUGCUUUCUGGCUCAAAGGUGAAUAGCUUUCUCACUGAAUUUCUUGAAGUAGCACUAUGUUAUAUUUGCUUAUCUUUAACUGCUUAACAUUGAAGACCUGCACAUACAUUUCAGCCAUUUGAAAACUUAGAAUUGCUUGGCUAGACCAGAUUCUGUGAGUUAUAAAAUAAAAAGAUGUUACUCUUCUACUAUGCCACGUCCUUUAAAGAUCACUGAUUUUUGUCAGCCCACUGCAGACUUCUGCUUGCAGGGGGCCAUCCAUCCUGUUGCUCUUGUAGAUCUGGUAUUUUAAUAUAUCCAGGAUUUUUCCCAGGGACUUGUAUGAGUAGAUAUGAAUCUAAGGAGCUGAUCAGAAAGACUUGAAAGCAUGCAACAAGUCUAUUUGCAUGGCUUUGUCAAAGUCCAAUGGCCAAACCGUGUGUUCCUGACUACUUCAUUGUGCCCAUGUAGGCCUUUAUAGGAACAGACUGCUUCCUCCUGGUUCACCAUGCAAACCCGUAUCACUGGCACAAAGCAGGAGAUGGCAGGGAAUGGGAAGAAGCAGAAGGACGAAGGUUGGACCACCUUGUUUGUUGGCCCUAGCGACUUCAAACAGUUCAGUGACAGGACAAAAACACAAUUUGAGCACUUGCAGAACCAGAGUUCAACUGACGAACCAAAGUUCCUGUCAAGAUUAAGAAAGUGACUUGAAGUGCUUAUGAAGGCCUACUCAAAUUAUUUGGAUCCUAAACCUUUGGAAAGGAUGUUGUAUUUCUUGCAUGGUUCAUAGGUGACUUAAAUAAUAUUAGCAGUUAUAUUUUCCAGAGGUUUGCCUGCAUGGAUGGUGCCAUAGGCUGUGACCAAAUCAAACCCCCUCUGCCUUGCAACUCUGGGAUCCUAAGGAUUGUGCCUGAUCUGAGAAAGGAAGGCUCACUGUUUUCAGUUCAGGUGCUUAUUUUCUGCUAGGCUUAGGAACUGCACAGGAAAAAGAUGCCUAAUUCACAUAAAAGAGAAAGAAAAGGAAGGCCUGCUUGAAAAUAAACUGAGACUAGUAGCUAUAUAGGUGUGAAGAUGUCUAGUGAGAGGAGCAUGUCUGAAAAUCUGGUAUUGAAAGAUUUGAGCUGAGAACUAAUAGGGGAAAGACAGAUCUGAUAAACUGGAAAAUCUGAAGGAUUGAAAUAGUUUAGGCAAAGAUUUGGGGUUUGUUCCUUGAAAUUGGAAGAAGCAGCAGCCUGGCAGAAGGGAUCUGGCUUGAAGCAAAGAGAACAAGUCAGGCUUGGGGGAAAGGGCUCGCACACUUCAGAUCAUUCCUAACAUUCACUAGGGUAUUCUGCACUUGAGAUCCAGAAGGGAAUGUAGACUGUUAAGUAGUAGCUUUUGCUGUCAUCUGCAAAAUGACUGUCAAUUUCAUUCCCCUCAUCAUAUUCCCCAUAGAAAAGACCAAGCUUAUUAGUACCCUCAGCUACUACUUUGUGGAUUUUGGUCCUGAAAAGGAAUCCCAAAAUAACAGAGUAGUUAAGGUAGGAAAGGACCUCUGGAGAUCAUCUAGUUCAAGCAGGGUCGGGCAGAGCAGCUUCUUUAGGGCUGUGUCCAGUCAACUUUUGAAUAUCUUCAAGGAUGGAGGCUCUGCAACCUGUCCUGUUGAGACAGAAUUUCAUGCAGUUCAUUUUGUACCUGUUGCCUUCUGUCCUAUCACUGGACACAACGGAGAAGAGCCUGCCUAUGUCUUCUUUACUGUCCCUUUCCUCCAUCAGCAGGUGUUUAGAAACUUUGAUAAGAUCACACAAACACAAGCUUUUUCUUCUCCAGGCUGGAGUCUCAGCUCUCUCGGCCUUUCUUCGUGUGAAAGAUUGUUCAGUUCUCUCAUCAUCUUUGUGGAAGUAAAUAAAAUACUUCAACUAAUAAGGGGAAUUAAAAUUCAAAGGGGGAAAUGUUUUUGUGGGGAAAAUAAACAAAACACAACCUGAUAACUGUAAAAAGAACAUGAAGAUCACAAAAUGAAAAGGUAAGAGGUUAGGUAACUCCUACUUUAAGAUUCUGCAAUCUUCAUUUGCCCCCUUGUGUCAGUGUACUAUGAAGCAAUCUUUGUGAUCACACAGAAUAUUCAACCUAAUGAUACGACUGGCCGGGUGCAGGUGCUGGGCCAGGGAAGGUGUUUUUGGGCAGUGCCAGCAAGAAGCUUAAUGCUGCUAUAGGUGCUGCAGAUUAGUAGAAAAUUCUGUAGGCAAUGGAAUAACUGCUACAAGUAGAGGAAACGGUGCCUUCGUGGUCACGUCAAGUGAGAAUUCCUAAGAAUUGGAUGAGGUGUUUAUUUUUCUGCCUUUAUUCUUAUAUGAUGCUAAACAAGUUACUGGGCCUUGGCUUCUGUAAUACUUGUAUUCCUCUUUAAUUUAGAGGUGUCCAACUUAAGACUCUUAUGUCUGAAGGAAACACUGGCAGUUUACAUUUUGUAGGUGAGUUUCUUGGGAGUUGUCAUUUGAAUUAAAAUAUUCUGUAAUGUUAUGUCUCCCAACAGCCUCCUAUCUUGUUAAAGCAUACCUCAAACUGUGGCAUACUAUGAUAGUUUCUACACCUCCAUGUCAUAUUUAAAAUAGGGAUAAUAGAAACUUAGCUGAAGGGCGGUUGGGGUUUGGUUGUUUAAAAAAAACGAAACACUUUUGUUUAGUAGCUGUACUAGAGUACAUUUCCUUAUGGAAUUUUCUAUGGCAUUCUUCAAUUCUGAUUUUGGAGGAAGAGGUGAGUAUUGUGCAUCUUUUAAAGACAAGAUCUGCAAUCAACUUUUCUUGUUGCCAGCUCAAGUUGAGAAGCAGAGUUUCCAUGUUGUUUAUUCAUGGUCUAUUUGUGCAGUCCUGUGAACUCCAAAAUACUCUGAUUUUUGUCCUCUUGUCACUGAUUCAUUUUGCAAAUGUAACUGUUAUUAUUAAAUACUUGUACCGUUUUUGAAUGUCAUUUCAGAAGUAACAUCUUCAAUAUUCUGUAAAAUAUUCUAUACACUGAAGGUAAUGUUCAUGUUUCAGCUUCAUCAUGUUUGACAAUAAAUUUACCUGUGAAGACCUAUUUUGCAGAAAGAAUGAACUAGUUGUACAGUGGUAAGCAGUGCAUUGUUGAAAAUGUAAAGUGACUUAGACCUGUGUAUUUAGCACUUCUACAGGCCAUUGUUCUUCAAAUUUCAAAAGCAGUUUUCUUGGUACUGCACAUGGCACACUUUGCUGAGUGAGAGUGGCCUGUACUGAGUAUUUGGAUACAGAGAUCUGAAAAUGUUUCAGCUUUUCCCUUAGUCAUGGUAUCUUGUUAAGUAUUGAGGGAAGUCUGUCCUAGACAGGUAGCAAUACUAACAGUAAUGAUGGAAAUUUGAAAUGUUUAGACUUCCUUUAUCUUCUUCAUCACAGCCUGUCACAGAAAUCACAAGAAAUGAUAGAAAUAUAUCCAAAGUGGUGAGCUGCUAUUUUACCACAGUGUUACUUGAAGCUGAGCAGCAAUUCUUCAUGUAAGAAACGAGUAAGCAAAAAGUUAAAAAUGUAUUUGAAGGAAAACACUAUGUCUGAGAUAUAUGUGAAUCUCCUUUCUAAGGUGGAAGUUGUGUGUAUCAGAAUAAAAUUUUUACCUAUAAAGAGAAAUAAGAAAGAAUUAUGGAGAAAAUGCAGUAGCAUGAGUGACAAUGCUCAUCUUUCUGUGAGGGGGAUAAUAAUGUUUGGUGUAUUUUUCACUACAUAGUUUAUUUCUGUUAGAAUUUAUUUAAUGGCUUUCAGGUGCAGUUUUUUUCCACAUUUUAUUCACUUAUAAUAGCUCUGUAUUUGUUAAUAAAUCAAAUUUGAAUUUAUCUAAUAUUGCUUCUGUCUCUUAAUGUAAAAUUUGAACCUUACGUUUGAAAGUUCUGAAAUUAAAAAAUUAAUUAUAGCAGCAUUUAUCCAGUUUGUAUCUUCAAUUUAAAGUAUACAGUGCUGAGUAGCUAAAGGAUGACUUAGUUUCUGUUGAGAGAUGGGAACAAUACAUCCAUAUUGUUCUUUUCUGCUGUUUAUAGCCAUAGGAGACAGACAUGGAUAGAAAGGUUCACAUUUCCCUAUGUUUCUGCAGGGCAAGCAGUGGCUUUAUUACCUAUAAAGGAACUUUAUACAGCUUUUACACUUUCAAGUGGUUUUAAAAGUAAAAUAUUUUGGAAUUUCUCAACAAAUACACAAAAAAACUUUAAGUAUUAUGAAAUUUGAAGUAUAUAAGGCAUAAAUUAUAGCAUAUAAAAUCUCAGAUGUAUACAUUUUAAUCUUUUAUUGAAAGAAAGGCAAAUUAAAAGCUUCAGGGGUCACAUUAUUGGACCAGUUAGAAUAGUCAACAAUAAUAUAUGACUAUGGUUCUACAGUCCUGUGAUUCUUGAGCCAGACAAGUUUUGGGAUUGAGAGCCUUCCUGUUACCUUCAGCAUGAGCCUGCCUCUGAUAUUUCCAUGGUGGUUUCACUAAAUAACUUUAGGUUAGUUUUUGGUAAGCUCAGCCAGCUGAAUGUGUUUGCUGUGUGAGCAACAGUGCUGGCACCAAGAAAAGCACCCUCCACUCUCAAGAAUGGCAAUCCAGCUUUAAAGUUAAUUUAAAGUUAAUUGGUUAAAUCACUGUAGGGAAUACUCAGGGCCUUAUUCUUCCUUUCUUCAUACUCCUACAGAGAGGCUUUGCCUAUCUGCUCUUUAAAUCAGUAUUAAAGAGUCUAAAGACACCUUCAUCUCUCUCUUGUGCAGAAGAUUGGUAUCUACAUGUGAAACCAACACAAAAAUGCUUAUAUAGAUAUAUAUAUAUAUAGCUUCUUAGCUAUAAGAAGAUAUAUAUAGAUAUAGAUAUAUAGCUUUAUAGCUAAACAGCUGUGACCCACCUUUCCUGUCAUGAAGACAAUGUGAAAGUGUCUAUCUUUUCCAACAAGCAAUAUCUGUUUUUUUAGACACAUAAAAAAAAUACGUUAAAACUGUAUUAUCCAUCUAUGUAUAAUGGAACUUCUGACUCAAAAAUAAGAAAUUUUCAGUAAUAUGAGACAAAGAUGGACAACAGCUCUAAUGUUUUGCAGGUAUGAAAUCUGUUAAAUGGCCUGUGUGACAACCAAUUUUAGGAAGCGUCUGUGGGUAGUAGGUGGUACAGUCAGAAAAAGGAUUUCACUGCAGAUGCGAUGACAUCGUGUAGCCAGACAGCCCCCUGUUGGUUGUAUUGUUGUGGAGGUUCCAGAAAGGAAUCGUGCUUGAAUUCAGCUAUUCAUUGCUUUCAACAAGCUGGUUUUUUCAUUUCCAUAUCACAAAUAGAGAAAAUGGAGGGGCAAAAAAUGUGUGUGCUUGUAAAAACUACCUCUGAAUGAAGUUUUAUCUCUUGUAUAAGACAAAUGUUAAAGCCUGGUUAAAUAGAGUAUCUCCACAGUUUCUUAAUGCCUUUAUAGAAGCUUAUUUUCAAAGCACUGUAGUGGAAAUUUAGAGCAGUACUUUGUCCUUGUGAUAAAACUUAAGGCUAGCAUACUUUAAUAUCACAUUUAUAGUCUUACUAAUGCAAAGUACUUAGAUAAACUGCUGUCAAGAAUGCAAGUAAUAGAUUUUAAAACAUAAAAGUUUGUAAGCUGGCAGUGAACUAGCCUGAUACACGCUCCAGCUUUAUUUAAUGACUGAGACUCUCUUGCAGGCACAUCUAUGAGAGCUUCUGCUAUUUAACAAGAGGCUUGGGUUUGUUUUUUUUUAAUCAUUUCCUUUGCUUUAAUCUGUUCUUUGUAUGUGUUUUAAGUUGCUACCAAUGCAAGUAGCUGUAUACUUCCAGUUUGUGUUUUUCCCCUGUGCUGAGAAACUAAAAACCUUGUUCUUCAAAUGAAAUAGAUGUCUAAUAUAUUGGAAAAUUAAAGGACACAAAUUAGGUAUUUUGGUGGUUUUUUUUUUCUUCGAAGUGUUCGUAAAGAGAACCUAGAAUCUCCCUUGUAUUGGUUACUGUAUAUCCAUGUGGUAAUGGAAUGCUGUAGGUACUGUAUGAGGUAGCCAGGAAAGUUUCCAGAAAAAACUCUGUCUCAGGGGCACAGGGUCUUUUGCUCUGACAUAAACAAUACAGAGGUGAUCUCUUUCUUCAUCAGAUAAGGCCAAGGUUAUAACAGCUCAUCUUCAUCUGAGGAACUGGAUUUGUGGCUGAAAAUCCACAGCUGCAACAGUGUUAGGGAAACUGAUGUGAGAGUUAAUCUUCUACUACAGUACAGAAGAUGUAGCAUGAUGCCAAGAAAGCCUUAAGGAAUCUUUCUGCCCCUCAAAACACAUUAAAAAAUCUAUUGUAAUCAGAUAUCUUUAAACUGCUGACAGAAACAACAGAGGGUAAGGAUACAUGCUGUGAUUGAAAAGGGGGAAUGGGAAAGAUAGUGUCAGACCAAAGAGAUGGUUUAAAAUUGUCAUGACUUGCUAAAAUCCAUCAGAAGAGUUUAAGAAACUGGCUGAAACAAUCUGAAACAAGGUGAGGGUACUCUCCCAUGAAACAGAAAACCUGGUUUUCAGAAGCCCGAGGAGAUCGAAGUUCACAUCUCUUCUGAAAAAGUACCCCAUGGAAGUUGCCACAGAUGUUGCCCAUCUUUCUUGAUAAAUCAAGGAUAUGUACAAAAAAGAAAUCACAAAAUGGUUUUGUUCAAAGAUUGUUGGCAGUGAUAGCUAUUACUCUUAGGAGAUGAAAGCAAGCUGCAGGUAGAAUUUCAAAGGGUAGUGGAAUUUGCUUUUAUUGGACUAACUGUGCAGUUCCUUGCAAGUUCCAUAUUUUUUCCUAAGAUGUUUCCUGAAGUAACGGUAAAAUGAGCAUAUAAUAAAUAUAAGUACCCAUUAAAGCACACUAAAGGAAUACCUUAUGUUUCCAGCAGAUGAACACUGAGAUAACGAAGUGUUUCUGAAUUGCAUCACAGAUCUCUAUUAUGCCAAAGUUCUGGGUUUUAUUGCUAAAGAGAGCACCAGUAAAGGUGGCUUUAAACUGCUUUAUGCUCCUACAUUCUCUAAAUCUGCUGAAGACAGAAAGCAGGGAGCAACUGCAUGGCUGUUCAACAGCCAGCAAGGGGAUUCACCUCUUCUCUCCUGCAAUCUACCUCAAACUGUUUUCUUUUUAUUAUAUUUGAAGAAGCUUUUUGAGUUUCAGGGGGGUUUUGUUUGUUUGUUUUACAGGAGAGUUUACAAUUCUCCUCACAAAUUAGCAGCAUAGGUAAGAGCCUGUUCUAGGUUGAAGAAGAUUCAAAUAACUUCUCAUGCUCAGAAAAAUUACUACAUUCUUCCUCUUACGAGGAGUGGUUACAUACUCCAUUUCCAAAUCAGGAUUAAACUUUAGGACUUCCUCAUGGUUCUUGGAGUAUCUUUAAUUUUUAUUUUGUUUGAGCAAUUCUAGUAGCUUAGAACAUACAGGUAACUUGCAGAGCUCUUACAUUGUGAUCCCACUGUUUUAUGCUUACUCAGGCAUAAAGCAGCCUGAGAAAGGCACUGCCUUACUCUAUGAAUGUAUCUCAGUUUCAUCUAAAACUGCAGCUUUUAGAGGCUGCAGUUUAGCUGUGAGCAGUUGUCCAGAGCAGUGGACAUUUUUAAUGGUAAUUAACACAAUCCUAACUGUAUCUCUGUUUUUGGUUUUGUUGUUUUUUUCAUAUUUAUUGCAGAGUUCUUUUAAAAACAGCACCUGGUCCUGGUAAUAUAUAGUGUUUGAGUUUCUCAGGCUGCCAACAGGCUCUUUUGAGACACUUAGGCCUGAGGAAACUACUCUGAAUCCCCAUAAGGCUUAUCCUUGAGAUAGGAAUUUCUUUGUCACCCUGUAUGUUGAAACCAAAUAAUUUAUAUUGUGCUUCCUUACUUUUGUAAUUUUCUUUCAUCUGCCUCUUGGUAUUACACAGAUAAAGCCAAAAAAAGCCCUUCUGAAUUCUGUUAUCUUUAAAAGUACUUGGAAUUCUCGUGUCUGUCUGUGUGUGUGCUGUGCAUUGAUACACAGGCGCUGCUUGCAGCCAUUCGUACCUGUGCAUCUGGAACUCUUUGAGUGGGACAACGCUGUUCAGCAGCACUUGUGAAAGCAACAACUGUUUCCUUGUGCAAGAGCAGUGUUAAUCCUGCCACCCCUCAUUUUUUGGACUACCAGUGGCUACAAAGAGAGCUUUUCAUUAGCCAGUGAUAGUAGCAAUUUUCUUUUUCACUAAUCUUUAUUAGUGUUUUCUUAUUCACUAAUUUAUAUUAACAUUUAAAUAGAUGUUAAGAUGUGGUUUAAUUUAGAAACUAGCACUUCUGGUUUAUUGGUUUUUUAUUUUCUCUUUGGCUGGAGAAACUGCUUUAGCCUAUGAAGAAUUCCUUGUCAAUGCAUACCCCAUGAAUGAGCACAACCUCCCUGGUGUUCAGACACUUACUGUGUGAUGUAGUGGUGUCAUUAAAGACUAUCUGCAUAAGAUACCUUUUACUUGACUUGAUGAGCAUCACAUGAAUCUUCUAAGAAGGCUGAGCAAGCAAAAUAUCUUGCCUCAAGAUGUCACAAGUGAUACAGGCAGACACCUGGCCUCUGGUUCUAGUUUGCCUGAGCAGAAACACUUGAGAAAGACCAGAACUUUUUGCCUUUCCCACUUCUUGGCGUAGGCUGUCAGCAAGUCUCCUAACAUGGCUAGACCUUGAUUAGAGGGUGACAAGGAACAGAACAUUUGCAAAAGGGAUCCUGAUUUUCUUCUACAUAAAUUCUGAAGAAGUUAAGCAUAGCUCAAACCUGGGAACACCAGGCAGUCCAGUGAUGCAGAAUUGGAAUUUUCCUGGUACGUCGCUACAGUUCUUGGAUCCCUUGGCAGCCAUGAUUCUAGAGCAGAAAUUAUCAGUAACAAUGACACCAAAAUUAUUUAUGGCAAGGUCGAGUCACUUUUGGAUGGCAGUGUUAUGAAAGUUCAGCAAGGCUAAGCACUUGUUAACUACUUACAGGCUUUUUUGGCUCAGCAAGUAAAUCCUUCAACACUUCUGCUUGCUUGUUCUGCUUGCUUAUUCUGCUAUCCCAUUAGACGGGAUAACUUUGGGGCCAGACAAGAAGGGUUUUCACAAUCCUAUGCCUUUGCGAGCAGAAAAUCCUGAGUGUUUAGCGUGCAUUUCUUGCAAAGCUGACGUGAUGCAGCAUCUUUAUGCACAAGAAAAGAUCGACCCCCACUUUGCUACAACCUCCUUUCAGGUAAUUGUAGAGAACUUCUUUGUUGUCCCAGGCAGCCAGCAACAGAACAAGAGGAAAUGGCCUCAGACUGUACCCAGGGGAGGUUUAGGUUGGACAUUAGGAGGAAUUUCUUCUCAAAAGAGUGAUUAGAUAUGGGAAUGGACUGCCCAGGGAGGUGGUGGAGUUACUGUCCGUGGAGGUGUUUAAGAGAAGACUGAAUGAGGCACUCAGUGCCAUGGUCUAGUUGACAUGGUGGUGUUUGGUUGGUCAUAGGUUGGACUUGAUGAUCUCAGAGGUCCUUUCCAACCAAAUUCAUUCCGUGAAAGCUGCCUCCAAUAACAGCAAAUACUGAUAACUAGAGCAAAAGGAAGCUGAAGUUUUAUCUCUGCUGCAGAAGGAGCUAUCUUCUGAAAAUGAGAGUCUCAAAUAGCAUAUGAUUAAUUCAUAUUGCACAUACUAAUUUAAAAUGGUAAGAAUUGCCACAGACAUCUAGAGAGGAAUUUAGAUAUGGCGCAGUAGAGAGCACUGAUGGCAGUAACAACAUUUCUGGAGACAGACAUCUUUAUAAAAACUAUUUCUUUAUGGGUUUUCUGAAGCACUGGCUCUGCAUUCUCUUUUUAUAGACAAGGUUGUACACACUGUUCUUAGAUCCCCAAGACAAGCAAACACCAGUUUCCAAGCACAGGCAUCACAGAGAACAGGUUUUCCAACCAUGCAGACCUUCAUGCCCUCCGGGAAAGCAGCGCAAGGCUUUGCCUCCAGUAGACCUGUAUGCUUGUCACCACUUGUUUCAGAAGAGCAAAAACUCACAUAUGCAUGUCCUGAACACUUCAUACGUGAUCUAAGAACUGGCAUUAGAUCCUUCACGGAUCCUCCAUGGCUUUAUCUUGGUGUUGAGGGUAGACCAAGAAGAUCAUCUCCAAAGAAUAGAGAUGAUCCAAACCGCAGCCGCCUGAUGUUCCACUAGCCUUCUGUGACUUCACAUGAUCAGCUUUUCUAUUCAGUCUCAGAGCCUACCUCAGAAGCUCAGUGAGAGCAUGGGUCAUGAGUCAUAGGACAGUGAGGCACUGGGACAGGUUGUCCAGAGAAGCUGUGGAUGCCCCAUCCCUGGAAGUGUUCAAGGACAGGUUAGAUGGGGCUUGAGCAACCUGGUCUGGUGGAAGGUGUCCUUGCCCAUGGCAGGGAGGCUGGAAUUAGAUGAUCUCCAAGAUCUCUUCUGACUCAAACCAGUCUAUGAUUCUGUGGGUCUGACUUUCAGUAGCCAUCCACAAGACACUGCUACAGCACAGCUUAUGAAUACAAACUGUAGCCAACAGAGGAGUCACACAAAUGUUCCUGUGCCUGUGAGUGCAUUUUCCAGCCAAGUUCUGCAGGGAAUCUCUGAAAGGUGAGUCUUGCAAAUGGAUCGCCUUUUGUCCAUCCUUCUUCCAAAUGUAUCCACAGAGAUUUGGGGACUGUGUAUGGACACCAGGGAAUUCUAGAUUACACUAUCACACUUCAAAUGUCAAAGAAAACUCCAUAAAAGCAGAAAGCACCAUUGGCCUAAUCAAGAUGGGAGAAGUAUCUCAGUUAAAUUAAGGGCCAUGCAGAUACAAUUUUUUAUUUACAUUCCUGACAUGGCCAUAGUUAAUCAUUUAAGCUAUUAAUGUGUUCCAGAGAUCCACAGUUUACUGAGCCAUCUUCAGAAGAUAAUGUUUUGAAUGAUCAUAGGUAGCAAAGGAAUAUUAUAUGGCUUAAGGAUCAAGUUGCAAAUGGGGAAAACAAUGUAAACCAGUCUGUUCCAGGAGAUACAUUUCCAAUUUAUGGAAAAUUAGGAACUUACUAAUAGGGUUAGUGCUCACCAUACUGCAACUGGAAUUGAAACAAAGUCCACCAACAGGAAAUAUCCAGUAAGUAUCCAGCAGGCUUAUCACCCCAGUGCUGCAAAAACAGUGCUGUUAUUCUGAUCUUCAGAGUUUGUCUAUUUGACCUCUGAAAGCUUAGCUUCUGUUUGCAGAUGUGAGGUAUCGACAUGAUUAAUCCAUCUGAUGUCUGGAUCCUGCAAUGUUUCACUUCACAGCACAUAUGCAGAAAUUACCUCCUAGAGAAAAAUUAUCUUCUUCAGGUAUGCAAACGAUUGAUGUAAGAUGUUCUGCAGAUGCAUUAACCCAACACAUUGGAAAAAAUAAAAAGUCCCUAUAGUCUCAUGAACA